CCUACGGGCGGCAGCAGUGAGGAAUAUUGGUCAAUGGCCGAGAGGCUGAACCAGCCAAGUCGCGUGAGGGAAGACGGCCCUACGGGUUGUAAACCUCUUUUGUCGGGGAGCAAAGAGAGUCACGUGUGACUCAUUGAGAGUACCCGAAGAAAAAGCAUCGGCUAACUCCGUGCCAGCAGCCGCGGUAAUACGGAGGAUGCGACCGUUAUCCGGAUUUAUUGGGUUUAAAGGGUGCGCAGGCGGAGGUGCAAGUCAGCGGUCAAAUUGCGGGGCUCAACCCCGUACUGCCGUUGAAACGGCAGCCCUUGAGUGCGCGAGAAGUAUGCGGAAUGCGUGGUGUAGCGGUGAAAUGCAUAGAUAUCACGCAGAACUCCGAUUGCGAAGGCAGCAUACCGGCGCGCAACUGACGCUCAUGCACGAAAGCGUGGGUAUCGAACAGGAUUAGAUACCCGAGUAGUC
rnacentral:rRNA from 1 species